rnacentral:rRNA from 1 species
UGCAAGUCGAGCGAAUGGAUUAAGAGCUUGCUCUUAUGAAGUUAGCGGCGGACGGGUGAGUAACACGUGGGUAACCUGCCCAUAAGACUGGGAUAACUCCGGGAAACCGGGGCUAAUACCGGAUAACAUUUUGAACCGCAUGGUUCGAAAUUGAAAGGCGGCUUCGGCUGUCACUUAUGGAUGGACCCGCGUCGCAUUAGCUAGUUGGUGAGGUAACGGCUCACCAAGGCAACGAUGCGUAGCCGACCUGAGAGGGUGAUCGGCCACACUGGGACUGAGACACGGCCCAGACUCCUACGGGAGGCAGCAGUAGGGAAUCUUCCGCAAUGGACGAAAGUCUGACGGAGCAACGCCGCGUGAGUGAUGAAGGCUUUCGGGUCGUAAAACUCUGUUGUUAGGGAAGAACAAGUGCUAGUUGAAUAAGCUGGCACCUUGACGGUACCUAACCAGAAAGCCACGGCUAACUACGUGCCAGCAGCCGCGGUAAUACGUAGGUGGCAAGCGUUAUCCGGAAUUAUUGGGCGUAAAGCGCGCGCAGGUGGUUUCUUAAGUCUGAUGUGAAAGCCCACGGCUCAACCGUGGAGGGUCAUUGGAAACUGGGAGACUUGAGUGCAGAAGAGGAAAGUGGAAUUCCAUGUGUAGC